AUGUUUAGUAGGGGCAACCCCGUUUCCAGUCACCUGUGCACGGUGCCCUUAGCCAAGAUGGCCCCCCUGACGCCUCCCCCGCCAUGUCUCGGACGGGCACCCCGCCUAGCCUUCCCAACGUUGCGCCCGGUGCCCUCAGCCAAGAUGGCGGCGGAGCCGCGCCGGCAGAGGGCGAGGCGGUGCUGGUGCCGCCAUCUUGGCUGCGGGCACCCCCUACCGCUGAGCUGGCCUUCCCGGGCGCGCGGGGAGUGCCGGGAGCAGACGGCGGCGGUGGCGGCGCGGACAGCUGUGCUGGGCUACGUCCCCCCCUACGGCUGGGAAUCAGUGAAGUCCCCUAUGGCCGUGCAGAAGGUCAGUGGUGCUCCCCAUAGCAGCCUUGGGGUCCCUCAGUGGUGCAGGGGGUCAGCGGUGUCCCUUAGGGGUUUGCUAUCUGAGCCCAUGCUGCUGGGGCUGCUGCGCUUGGCUCUGGAAGUCGCUUGCGAUGUUGCGGAGCGUUUGCGGACUUGGCUGCGUCUGAUGAGCAAGUUUUUCCUCUCGCCUUGUUCUUCCCUUUCUCAGAGCCGUCGAGGGUGGCCAGGGCCGGAGAGCUUUUGUUUUAACCUUGUCCCACUUCUGGCUCUGAAGAAUUUAGUAAGGCAAGGGUGUGGGAAAUGAUGCCAUGUGCAGAGGAUGUCUUAAAUCCCUGAAGACCUCUUUGACCUUUUUGUCCUGUCUCUCUGUAAGGAGGGCAGUCUGGCUGUAUAGUGCUAUUUGCGAAGAGUGUUUUGGUCUCAAACUUGGCCUCCUGUGCUCCCCCCAGGGUUUUUGCCAAAGGCUUCAAGGAUGUAUUGCAAAUGUGUCCAGUUUUCCUUUAGUGAUCUCCGCUGAGCAGGAUUGUCUUGAGGCCUGAGGCUGGGUGGGCACUGGGAUGUUAAAUAUGAUGUCUGCACAAUAAAAAAACUUGCAUUCUGGCUUCGUGUGUCA
rnacentral:lncRNA from 1 species